rnacentral:lncRNA from 1 species
UGCUGCUAAUUAUGGCUAUGAAUAUUCUCAUCCUACGCAUGACCAAGUGUUCUAUACCCAACAAACAGCUGCACCACUUCCCUCUCAGUACCAAACUAUGACCCCUACCACUGCGGUUUUAUUAUCACAGGCUACAGCACAGCUAGCUGGGGAGAAUACCACGACUCAGAACAGAACUUCAUAGCCUCUAUAAAUAAAACUAAGCAGUUCAAAGAUUUGUUAUCAAGUGUAAUUUUUUUCACAGUACGGAGUAUAUUACGGCAAAAAAUAAGGGUAUUAUGGUAUUCGUUAUCCUACAACAUGCUGCUGCUUUUGAUGGGGCUAAGAACAUACUUGUUUGUGGCUUCAUAAGGUGAAAUGAAGAACAAUGUUGUUAUUGUUUUCCAUGUAGUUAUUGACCCCCUUUUGGUCAUAUAGUCUUAAUAUUAACUGGUGUUGGAUAAUAAAAACCUAUUAGACUAAUCCUUUGGUCAACAACGUUCACUUCGUUCAUGCUUCUCUGGAUUAUGUCUGCAUGUUGAGUUCAAUAAUAUGUUGAAGCCCACUGCAGUUGUUUGAUAGUGCCUUAUUGAGAAAUGUGCCAUUUAUGGCUUAGAAAACCACGAAGCUCAGUCCAAUGGGACGACACAACGAACUCUAGUUCAAUCAAGUUAGAAUUCAACUCUUCCUGAAUUUUUAGAGACCAACAAGAAUUGAUAUAGACACUUCAAUUCAAAAUUCAAGUGCAGUGUUCUUAACAAGAUGUAGGAGAAAAGGAAUGGAGUGAUCUCUAUAGUUAGCAACACAAAUCAUAAAUUCUUAAUAUGGCAAAGCUAAAGAAAAUACAGUAUUUAAACAGAUCAUCAUCUUUUUCCCUAUACAUUCAGCUAUGUUUAUGUCUCAAUUGCAAUGCAGCACCUACACUAUCAGGUAAGUCAAUAGAAUCAUGUUCUCUGAAUGUGCAGUUCUCAUUGGAUGUUCAAUCAAUAAAGUGAUUUUAACUUCUAAUUGGUCAAUCAAAUGCAGCUGGCUUAAUUAUCUCAUACUACUAUAGUUGUUAUUCCAUUGUAACAUGGCCUAUCUGGCACCCCUUCUUAAAAAGGGGAAAAACCCUCUGAUAAGAACAGGAAUUGUCAGAAUUGAAACUCAUAUGAAUAUAGUUAUGAUAUCAACUAAUUGUUCACAGUUUUCAUGCUGCAUACUGCUUUGCAAGCACGUAGUUUUCUACUUAAAAUCCACAUGCUGCCAAAACAAACAGCAUGUGCAAAUUCAUUUACCGGUUAUCAAGAAAUAUAAAAAAGAAAAUCAGUUCCAACAGAUGAGUGUCUUUAGCAUCAUUAAUAGAUAGCAACAAGAAAAAUUUCGGUCAAGACAUGUUCAAAGUUUAGUAUGAUUCAAAGAAAAUUUGUUGUAUGUAAAAACUCAGGUGGAACAGAACCCAAUGACCAAGAAAACCAUUAGAUAAUAAAGUAGCUGCACUGUGACAGACUCACAAGUCACAGCUCCAUUGUAAAGAAAUUUCUAGGUGGUCAUAGGCAUUCCAAGCAGUCCAGGUGUUUCCACAAAUAUGCACAAUUUUCUUGAAUCAAGCUCUAUUAUUUUUUGGGGGGUCUUAAAUUUUAGUCCUAAACUUGUGACAUAUAUAUGGUGCAACAUAUGUAACACGUAAUACAUUUGGCUUAUAUUACAAUUAUUACUUUAUUUUAUCUUAUUAUCAUAUGUCAUCAAUAUCAACCAAUUCAUGUUCAAACAACUAUUAAAAUCCAUGUACCAACUGGAAGAUAUCACCACAUAACUUAAAAUUUGAGAUUCACUCACCUGUGUACCUCAUUCAUAUUGUCCCACUUCUAGACUUUUGAGUCCAAUGAAUAGCAAGACAGAUCUUUCACACCCUUUUUUCGCUUGAGGAUCGAGUCGAAGGAUUUUUUCAAUUAAAAUGACGAUUUUAAAUAGAGAUUAUUUUAUUUACAGAGUCGCCACUUGAAAUUGAGUUAUGGUGUUUCAAAGUCACCUUUUUGAAUCCCUAAUUCAAAGGAAAUGACUCUUUUAUUUGAUCUGCGAAAACAGAAGACCGGGUAAGGAAUUCUAUUGAUCGAAGGGAAGGUGUUAGGCACCCCUCGAGUCCCGCUCCUAAAAUCGCUCAUUUUUAUUAUACCCAAAACUGGUCUAUUAUUUUAUAUUAAAUCGAUGAAAGUUAAUUUUAGAAAAAUAUUUAUCGAGAUGCAUUAUUACAUCGUUAAAUUUUAAAAUAUCUCUGAAAGAUGCGUACGCUACAUUCUUAAUCGAGACAAAUAUUUUAAAAAUACCUAAAACUUUUCUAGCAUUAAAGGAAUUUGUUUUGUCUCUUGUAAACUUGAGAUAAUUUUAUCUUAUCUAUUUUUAUAUUUUUUACUCUUUAUUUUACAACGAGUUUUGAAUCAUUUCGCAACUCGUCUCAGUCAUUCUCACCUUAGUUAAUUUGAUUAUGCCUUGAAUAGGUAAAAAUACAAUGCUAAAUCCAACUUAAUUAUUAUGAAACCCAAAUUAAAAUAGUACACAUUUCAAUAUUUACGAAUCAGUUGUAAAUUGCUAAAACAACAAAUAACAAUAACAAUACAAAUGUGCUGGAACCUAAGUACAAACUAUCUAUUAGCAACAUGAAUAAGGAAUAAUCAAUUAGACAAGGCCAACUUAGACAAGUAGCAGCGAGAUAAAUGAAGACAAAUAAAAAAUAAAUAAAUAAACUAACUCAAGAUAAUUAAAACACAAACUGGUAGUUUACUAGUUUAAUACAGUUGAUUAGCGAAUUUAUCAGAUCCAUUUUAAGCCAAAAAAAAAAAAAGAAGGAAAAAGACAAAGAAAAAGACAAUGUGCAUGGCUUGAUAUAUAUAUACAUUUACGUUUGGCAGAAUAAGGGAAAAACAUAGACUAAACUAGUGCCUAAACUAUUGAGGUAAAUCAUUGCUUUACACUGCCAAACAAGUGAAACCAGAAGAGGUUACGUAUUUCAAAGUAAUAAAUUUUUUUUUAGGAAAAGAAAGAUAACUCUCAUUACUCAUCUUUUGAUUUUAAACCCGAAUUGUCUAAUCUUGUCUCAAAUUUUGAAAGAAAAGAAAAAUAAAGCAGACAAUCUGUGACUAGGGAGUAACAUGAAACAUAGUGUAUUCAAAUCUCACAUUCCUAGAACUUAAUAAGAUCGAAGAAACAAAACUAGCAAUAACGAAUUCUCCUUAUUCCAACACAUAAUUAUAUGGUACACAUAAAAAACAUACCCAUUGGACGCUAUCUUUUAGUAAGUUUAACAUGCAUAUAAUUUCACAUAAUGUAACAAUCCUAAACUUUAUAAAAUUAGUUGGCAACUCCAAAUCUACAUACAACUGUAUAACUACUCCAUAACUUACUCGUACAACUCAUGACAAUCAUAAAAUCUACAUAAUUAAUCAACCACACAUACUAAAUAAUGCAUAAUGUCAUUUAAACAAUUUUAUUUAUGCUUUGAUUCACAAGAAACUUAUGGAAUAUAGUACAAGAGGGAUAAAAACCUGUAUUAUAAAUUAAACAAUUAUCGAGGCGAGAACGUCGUCACCGGUAACUCAAAACCCAAACUUAACUUGUCACCCUUUUUCUUUCCUUUUCCUCUCUGAAUGGGCUUUCUUUCUAUACAGUUUUUCUUUUUGUUUUUCCUCAUUUUCUCUCAAGUCUUGUUUCUUAGAUUCUCUCAAUUUUUUUUGUCAGUUAGUGUGC